UUUUUUUCACAAACACGUACCAUUCACACACGCUCAUCAAUCUCAAAUCUCACAAACUCAAAAUCGCUUCUUCUUCAUCUAUCUCAAAUCUCAAACUCCAUUGAUCUCAAACCUCACAAACUCCAUUGAUCUCAAACCUCAUCAAUCUCACCUCAACAAUCUUCUCAAACAAGCUCUGAAUCGAUUCCCUACUGUAUCGAUUUCAAAUCGAUUUUGUUGUUCAUCUUUUGUUCAAAUCGAUUUAGAGAUCUUCAAAUCGAUUUUGCUCUUAAUCGUUCUCAAGCUCACAAACUAAAUCGAUCUCAAUCUGUAUCGAUUUUGUUCAAACUGUAUCGAUCUCAAUCGUCGCCUUCAUCGACCGCCGGACCGCCGAUCUUCGAACUCGCUCUGGAUCAUUUUCAAUCGCUUCAUUGCAAAUGGCUGAAAAUGCCAACCUAGCCAGAGCCCCUCAAUGUGCUGAUAUUGCUUGUGAGGUGUUGCUGGUCAUCUUGCUCCCCCCAUCUACAAGGGUCAAAGGGUUCAUUGAAGUUGUUAAGCCAGCGUCGUUCACGUGUCACUUUAUGUGAAAAAUUCAACAAUAGUUGCCUUAUGUGAAAUCUAUUGAGUUCCAUCUUACUCAAUAGAUUUCUCUAGCAGACAUCAUUUGCGUUUUCUAUUAAGGGGUGUGGAGUGCUAUUCUGUUUGUAGGUUAAGGUUGGCAAACUUCCACGACAUGCUAGUUCAAAUAUUUCAUCUCAACGCACUAAUUCAGAAGAUAGACUUCAAAAAGUAGAAAGUGUAUUUGGAAAUCUUGUUGCUGUGCUUCAAAUGCGAUUUUCUGAUGAUCCACAAAUUAAUGCUGUCUUACAGGCUGUAGCUCAAGAGGUACCUGAUGUUGCAAGUGCUCCAAAUGGUUCUAUUGGUAAUAAUCAACAAACUACAAGUGGCACUGGUUCACUGCACUUUUAAGGGUAAAAGAUUGAUGGUAGGUGUUUGAGGUGUCAUAGAUAGAGAACAGGAAGAUGAAUAUGAUGUGAGCAAUGAAAUAGAACAAGCAUGGACUAGCCAUUGGACUUGAACAAUAAUAAGCCCAGUCACCUAGGAUUUGGUUGGAUAUACUCUAAGAGAAAGAAAGUCAUAGCCAGAGAUAAUUAGUUACAUUUUGAGUUGACAAGUUUUUGAACCUUGUGAUUUGUCAAUUGAUUCAGACUGGUGCAUUGAUGGAGAAGAGGAAGAUGAUCUGGUUUUGGCGGAACAUGAUGUGAAGAAAAGUAUAUGAUUGUUCUUGAUAGGGUAGAACCAUAUAAAAACUGUGUCUGUCAGUUUCUGCAUCUUAUAAGUAGUAAAACUCAUUUUGUGUAUUUUGGUGUUGUCUUUAGUUAUAUGAUUUGUCCACAUUGGUGAAUAAUACCUUGAGAAUAUAUUCUGGUGUUGAUUUUAGUUUAUAUGAUGAUUGGUGAAUAAUACCUUGAGAAUA